rnacentral:lncRNA from 1 species
AUGCAAUUGUUAAGCUACAUUAAUAUAAAUAUUGUUGGGGGUUUUUCUGGGUGGAGGAGUUCUUGGACCUAAUCAUGGAGUUGCUCUCAGCGUGAGUAACAUAAGCUCUGGCACGCCAGCAUUUGAUAUGGACAUAUCAGAUUUCAUGGAGAAUGCCAAAUGUUACUUUGUCCGUAAUUUUUGUGUCCGAUUAUACAUGAAGCAAUAAUUAUAAUAUUUACUAAAAUAGUUUCUUUUACGGAUAGGCUGCAUACAUUUCUUGUGCUAUUCUUCUGAUUUUAAAGCUAAUAUUUGUUCAAGAAAGCUUGCUUUGCUCUGCCAAAAGGCAUGUGGGGUGAUGGAUCAGAUGGCUUCUGCAUGUGGCAAAGCUAACGAGUGCUUCUUGCAAUAGUUUG